rnacentral:lncRNA from 1 species
CCCACAGCGUUGAUCUCCCGUGGCGUUGCUCUCCCACGGCGUUGAUCUCCCGUGGCGUUGCUCUCCCACAGCGUUGAUCUCCCGCAGCGUUGCUCUCCCGUAGCGUCGCUCUCCCGCGGCGUUGAUCUCCCGUGGCGUUGAUCUCUCGUAGCGUUGAUCUCCCGUGGCGUUGCUCUACCGUAGCGUUGCUCUCCCGUGGCGUUGGUCUCCCGUAGUGUUGCUCUCCCGUGGCGUUGCUCUCCUGUAGCGUUGAUCUCCCGUGGCGUUGCUCUACCGUAGCGUUGCUCUCCCGUGGCGUUGGUCUCCCGUAGUGUUGCUCUCCCGUGGCGUUGCUCUCCCGUGGCGUUGAUCUCCCGUGGCGUUGCUCUCCCGUGGCGUUGCUCUCCCGUAGCGUUGAUCUCCCGUAGCGUUGCUCUCCCGUGGCGUCGCUCUCCCAUAGCGUUGCUCUCCCGUGGCGUUGAUCUCCCGUAGCGUUGAUCUCCCGUAGCGUUGAUCUCCCGUGGCGUCACUCUCCCGUGGCGUCGCUCUCCCACAGCGUUAAUCUCCCACGGCGUUGAUCUCCCGUGGCGUUGAUCUCCCGUGGCGUUGCUCUCCCGUGGCGUUGCUCUCCCGUAGCGUUGAUCUCCCACAGCGUUAAUCUCCCACGGCGUUGAUCUCCCGUGGCGUUGAUCUCCUACAGCGUUGCUCUCCCGUAGCGUUGAUCUCCUACAGCGUUGCUCUCCCACGGCGUUGCUCUCCCGUGGCGUUGAUCUCCGUGGCCGUUGCUCUCCCGUGGCGUUGCUCUCCCGUGGCGUUGCUCUCCCGUAGCGUUGAUCUCCCACAGCGUCGCUCUCCCACAGCGUUGAUCUCAUAUAGUGUUGAUGUCCCGUAUCGCCCUGCAGCCCAAGUGAAAGGUGCAGGUCCUGCGCCGCGAUCAGAUUUAAGAAGUUUUCCGUGACAACCAGGCCACACUGCAUCGGUUCCUUCCUUCCGAUGUAGAAUUUAAAAACAGGAGCCUAUCUAUCUAUCUAUAUCUA